rnacentral:tRNA from 2 species
GGCCUCAUAGGAUAAUUGGUUAUUCCGCCUGACUGUCUAUCAGGAGAUUCCGGGUUCAAGUCCCGGUGGGGUCG